rnacentral:lncRNA from 1 species
UUCACAGUACAUGACUUACUAUCUAGAACAGUUUCAUCAAGAAUAUAAGAACCAAAGUCAAAAGGUGAUCUGGUCCCUACAACAUAUAUAAACCGAGCCAAACCUGUGGCCAGAGUAUUGGAAUGAGUAGUUAGAGCCCAGUUGCAGUUUUCAUCAAUCCGGCUGCAUUAAUCAAAUCAACAAGCUUUUGGCAUUGUAAUAAAUCUUCACUUAAAUUCCUCUCCACAGCAAGCCUUCUUUUCAUCACAAAUUUCC